rnacentral:rRNA from 1 species
UACAGAGGGUGCGAGCGUUGUCCGGAAUCACUGGGCGUAAAGGGCGCGUAGGUGGCGCCGCAAGUCCAUGGUGAAAGCUCGAUGCUCAACAUCGAGUCGGCCACGGAGACUGCGGGGCUCGAGCACUGUAGGGGCAGAUGGAAUUCCGGGUGUAGCGGUGGAAUGCGUAGAGAUCCGGAAGAACACCGGUGGCGAAGGCGGUCUGCUGGGCAGUUGCUGACACUGAGGCACGAAGGUCAGGGGAGCAAACGGG